CGCAUAUUGCGCCCUUUGGUAUUCCGAGGGGCAUGCCUGUUCGAGCGUCAUUUCAAACCAUCAAGCAUAGCUUGGCAUUGGGAGUUUCCUGGUCUCUAUUUUCUGGGCUCCUCAAAGACAUUGGCAACCGACCGAAAACCUCAGACGUACCACAACUGAAUAAGUUUUCGUUUUGAAGAUUUCGUGCGGAUGUCUUGUUUUUAAUACCAUCAUUAAUUGACCUCGAAUCAGGUAGGGAUACCCGCUGAACUUAA
rnacentral:misc_RNA from 1 species